rnacentral:lncRNA from 1 species
GCGCUGUGAUUGGAUGUAAGGGUACAAUAUAUUUUGUAUUUAUCUAUGAAUAACUGCAGUGUGUAUACUUACAAUGUAAAUUUUGAAACCUAUUGAAAUAUUUUCUAGAGAAUUAUUCGAAAAGACUUGCAAAAUUUCAUAAAUUUGGUGCAAAAAUGACGGUGGGCAUGAAUAACAUAAACAAGCUCCGUUGGAAGUUGG